rnacentral:rRNA from 1 species
UACGUAGGUGGCAAGCGUUGUCCGGAUUUACUGGGCGUAAAGGAUGCGUAGGCGGAUUUUUAAGUCAGAUGUGAAAACCCCGGGCUCAACUUGGGGACUGCAUUUGAAACUGGAAAUCUAGAGUGCGGGAGAGGAAGGUGGAAUUCCUGGUGUAGCGGUGAAAUGCGCAGAUAUCAGGAGGAACACCGAUGGCGAAGGCAGCGCCCUGGCUGUGAAUAAAGCUGACACUGAGGCACGAAAGCUGGGGGAGCAAACAGG